UCUGUUAACAAAACAAACAGAUUAAAUGUCCAUAUUGCUAGGCAAAGUAUGUCUGUUAAAUAAAGGUGUUGAAGUAAUCUGUUAAAUGUUAAAUUUAACUCUGAAAGAUUAAAUAGUAGGUUGCUUAGGUCAGAAAUUCAAUAAAAAAUUCUCUAAGCAUUCUCUUGCUAUCAAAUUGCUUUAUUUAUGUCAUGGAGGUUUAAUCUUUAGAGCUAUGACAUUUCCAAAAAAUAUAUACUUUGCUUUGUUUGAGAAAAAAUUGCAUUGUGCCAUAACAUGAUUUUCAUAAAAGUUUAAACAAUGUCUUGAAAAAGUAAAGCUAAAAGUUUAUUAAGCCCAAAUAUAACCAUGUAUUUUAUUUAUACUUUGACAGAUGCCUACAGAAUUCAAAGUCUAAAUAGGUAAUAGGUACAGCAGGACUUUGAAUAAGAUUGUUUCAUCCAGGGUUUUUUCACUAGAAUGUGAAUUAGAUUAAAAAAACAAACAAAAAAAACCCAUCACUUUCCAGCCAGGGCCUCUGUCUGUGUGGGGUCUGCAUGCUUUCCCCAGGCCUGCCUGGGUUUGCUCCAGGUCCUCUGAUUUCCUCCCACAUCCAGAUGUGCCUGUUAGGUUCAUCAGCACAUCUACACAGUCCCAGUGUGAGUGAGAGUGGUGUGGGUGUGAGUGCGCCCUGUGAUGGGAUGGCAUCCUGUCCGGGGCAUUUUCCUGCCUGGCAUCCUGAGCUGCAGGGAUAGGCUCUGGCCACCUGCAACCCUGAACUGGAAUAAUUGGCUCUUCUUGGAUCCACUGAUCUACUUUCUAUCACUACAGAUGAGUCGGCUUUUUCUAGAAGUUUACAUAUGUAUGUAAUCAAUGCCUCAGGUAGCUUCCUCGUAUACCUGUGCUGAACAGUGCUGUCCUGAACACUCGUGAGGGCUCUUCUGCAGGUCUAGGGAGCUGUUUCUCCAUGCAGCUCUCUCCUCUCCUAUCCGCUGCCCUGGGAACUCUAGUCUGGUCUCCACGGACUCUCCACAAAAAUCUCCAUCCCUUCCACUUGUGCUCUCCGUUCCUGCCCUGUGGUCUGGAAACUCUCAAAGCAAUAAACGAGAGCACUCAAAGGACACACCUCAUUUGCUUCUCAUUUCUAAGAGCUCACAUUCCUUCAUUGCCUGAUGUGCAGUGUCUUGAAACCUGUUUCAUAUAUUUUAUCAAGUUUUUUUUUAGUUGUUUUUCAGGUGGGAGAGUAAAUUGGUCCCUAUCACUCUAUCUCAGAAGCCGAAGUCUCCAUAGUUUACUUAAAAGUGUGUAAACUUCCAAGUAUAUGGAAUUGUCCAGAUACCUUUCUAUUAUUGGUUCCUAGUUUAAUUACCUUUUGGUCUCUGAACACCUUCUGUGGUUUCCUUUAUUUUAAAUUGCUAAGGUUUAAAAGUUUGUUUUGUGGCCCACUUUAUGGAAUAUUGUCUAUCUUGGUGAACUUUCCAUGUACAUUGCAAAGAAUGUAUAUUCUGCUGUUGUUGGCUGGACUGUUCUGUAAAUCUCAGCGUAUUAGUCAGGGUUAUCCAGAGAAACAGAACCAAUAGGAGAUAUUUAUAUACAUAGUUGGAUCACAUAACUGUGGGGCUGACAUGUCUGAAAUUCACAGGGCAGGCUGCAGGCUGGAAGUUCUGGCAAGAGCUGAUAUUGUAGUUUGGGAGGCACAAUUCCUACCAGUUCCAGGGGCUUUCAACUAAUUGGAUAGGGCCCAUCUACAUUACGGAAGAUAAUUUGCUUUACCCAAAGUCUACUGGCUUAAAUGUUAAUCAAUCUAAGAUCUACCUUCAUAGCAAUAUCUACACUGGUAUUUGACCAACAUCUGGGUGUCAUCACCUAGCCGAAUAGACACAUAAAAUUAACCAUCACUGUUAGCGGUGGAAGACAUCCAAGUUAUCCAAAGUUACCUGUGGUGCAUCUGUGUGAGUUGGCAGCAACUCCAGUCCUUGCCUCCUCAGAAGAAAGAAUUUGACUGAGGGGCAUAAAGCAGAAGAAGAGACUGCCGCAAGUUUCAGGGCAGGAAUGAAAAUUUAUUAAAAGGCUUUAGAACAGUAAGGAAAGAAAAGAAGGAAAGUACAACUUGAAAGUACAAGAGGUCAAGCUGUGCACUUGGUUUCUCAAGGGCCAGGCAGGCAACUUGAGAAGUCAAGUGCAUAGCCUGACCUCUUGACUUGGGGUUCUAUAGGUUGGCAUAACUCCGGGAUCUUAUUGGGAAGCUGCUGAUCAGUUUCGAGUGUUUUCUACCUAUUAGGAGACUGCCUUUCUGUGGUGCCAGCCAUGACCAAUUAUUACUUUAGAGAAACGGUUAACAACCGCCUGACCAUCACCUGAUGGUUGCCCAACACUCCUGGUGUGUGUGUUGUGGGGAGCCCUCUCCUGCCUUGCUCCAGGCUACCUACUGUAACAUCACAGUCAGGUCCAGUUGGCCUAUGAUGUUCAUGACUGCUAAAUGCUUGCUAAUUUUGUCUUUUUGUCCUACCAAUUACUGAUAGAGAAGAGUCUCCAAAUAUAAUUGUGCUUUGAAUAUUUCUUCUUCAGCUUUAUUAAUUUUACCUCAUGUUUUUUGAACUUCUGUUUUAGGGACGUACACUGAGGACAUUUAUGGUUUUUGGUGAACUUACUCUUUCAUCAUUUUAUAAUGCUCCUCCCUCGUAAUUUUCCUUAUUCUGAAAUUUACUUUGAUCUUAAAAUUACGGUAGCAGUUUUCUUAUAAUUUGUGUUUGUAUCGUGUAUCUUUUUACAUCCUUUUAUUUUUAACCUAUUCAAAUCAUUGUAUUUAAAGUGAUUGUAUUGGAGAUAGCAUAUAAUUGAUUUUUGCCCCAAUCUGAUAAUUCCUGUAUUUUAAUAGGAGUUAUUUUUGAUGUAGUUAGAUUUAUGCCUACCAUUUUAUUGUUGGUUUUAUGUUUGUCUGCUCUGUUUUUUUGCUUUGUUUUGACUUUCUGUUGAAUUAUUGAAUAUAUUCAUUAUGACAUUAUAAUUUAUAUAUUGUUUUUGCCUCCUUCUCUUCGUACUAUUUUUAAUGGUGUCUUUGUGAUGAUCAUCCCCUUUCACAGUGGAAUAAAAGCUAAUAUUUUACCACCUUUAAGAAAAAUCAUAGGACCUCCCAGUUGGGGUCUCCAGCUACCCCUGCUGGUAUUCUCCCUGACGGAGGCUUCAAACCUCCCUGUG
rnacentral:lncRNA from 1 species